UGGGUGUCUUUGUGUGUCUGUGUUUCUGUACAUAUGUGUGCGAGCCAAGGGGUGUCUGGGUGGGAUGUAUUCAGGGCAACAAACCCGACGUAUUCCCCUGAAACAGUUCACAGUAGGGACCCCAGUCUCCUUAUACAAUCCCCUCUCAUUGCGUCUUUGCACCCCUCCCCAUGGCUGACGGAAUAAAUGGCUGCAGAGACCUCCUAAAGCCCUUCCAUAGCCCUCAUCCCUGGUUUUCCAAGCCUUGAACUCCGCAAUCAUUGUUCUGCCGAACUUCACUCUCCAUCUACUCCUGGAAUGCAUGAGAGCUUCAGAUACCCGGACCAAGAGCUGAUGGGGUUUCUUCUGGGAAAGUCAAGCCACUGAUGGAAGGGAGAAGCCACUGCUGGUUCUAGAGAGAAAGCACGACCCUUUCCAAGGUGAUUACCCAAACCGCAAGAUCCACCCAUCUGCGCUGACCCUGGGCGGGCAUCCCACACCGCAGAUCCACCCCCUCUUCCUCUCAGGUUCAAGUCGUCCUUGGGCGUGCUCCCUAUAGACCAUACUGUGGCGGAGUAGGGAGGCAGGCCCCUUCCCCGGCUUUCAAUCCCUUACCGUCCCCCCAUCCAGUACUGAUCUUUUACUGGCGCCCAAUUAGAUGCUGGCGGUGCCCUCUUCCUAUUCUGCUCAGCAACGCGGGCUCCGCGCCUCAAGAGCUUUGUAACCCACCCUCCCGCCUUCUGGCUCCUCUGUACCCACCCUUCCAUUCAUUUUUCCAUUCAUUCAUUCAUCCUUUUCUCCUCGUCCCUCCUUCAUUCAUUCAUAGCCCCCUGCCCCGCCCGCCUAGACAUUUCAUUC
rnacentral:sRNA from 1 species